rnacentral:rRNA from 1 species
UACAGAGGGUGCGAGCGUUAAUCGGAAUUACUGGGCGUAAAGCGUGCGUAGGUGGUUUGUUAAGUCGGGUGUGAAAUCCUUGGGCUCAACCUGAGAAUUGCAUCUGAAACUGGCGAGCUAGAGUGUGGUAGAGGGUGGUGGAAUUCCCGGUGUAGCGGUGAAAUGCGUAGAUAUCGGGAGGAACAUCAGUGGCGAAGGCGGCCACCUGGACCAACACUGACACUGAGGCACGAAAGCGUGGGGAGCAAACAGG